UACAGAGGUCCCAAGCGUUGUUCGGAUUCAUUGGGCGUAAAGGGUGCGUAGGUGGCGCCGUAAGUCGGGUGUGAAAUUUCGGAGCUUAACUCCGGAACUGCAUUCGAUACUGCGGUGCUUGAGGACUGGAGAGGAGACUGGAAUUCAUGGUGUAGCAGUGAAAUGCGUAGAGAUCAUGAGGAAGACCAGUGGCGAAGGCGGGUCUCUGGACAGUUCCUGACACUGAGGCACGAAGGCCAGGGGAGCAAACGGG
rnacentral:rRNA from 1 species